GUUCAAACUUGGUGAGUGUGGCCAGAUGCUGGACUCCCUCCCACCCCGCGCCCCCUGUCAGGGCUCCUGCAAUGCACUCUGUGUGGGGCCGCCCUCCCUUCCCACACCUGGUACCUUCACCCGGCUGACUGACUGUGGAGUCCUGCCCCCCAGGCCUCCUCAGGGGCCCCCCCGCAUGGCUGUGUGCCAAUGCCCAGGGGCUACAAUCCCCAAGGGGCAGGAACAAUGGGGCCGCAGGUGAAGCCCUCUCCCCGCUGGUCCCCGGGUGAGUGUGGGUCCCACGGGGCUAACAAUCGGCUGCUUUCUGGGGAAGCUGCUUCCUGCUCCGGAGCUCACCACCUGCUCUCCUUUGUCCCUCUUGCCCUCCUCCUGCCCUCCACCACGGGGAGGACAUGCAGAGGGUCCCGGAGGAGGACGAGGGGAGGGCCCAUGGGGAGGACGAGCGGAGGGCCCAUGGGGAGGACGAGGGGAGGGCCCAUGAGGGGGACGAGGGGAGGGCCCAUGGGGAGGACGAGGGGAGGGCCCAUGGGGAGGACGAGGGGAGGGUCCAUGGGGAGGACGAGGGGAGGGUCCAUGGGGAGGACGAGGGGAGGGUCCAUGGGGAGGACGAGGGGAGGGUCCCGGGGGGUGGCCAUGCUCAUGGGAGGGCCCCCUGCCUGGCCUCUCUCCUCCAUUCCUGGGCCGCAUGCAGGGGAACGUGCGAUGGAAGCACCAUCAGCCUCAUGGAACAGACGGGAACGCUGCUGGACAGUUCCCGUCCGAGGUCUCACGCCAGCCACUGGGAAUGACCACCCAGAGAUGCUGGUCCUCUCGGUGCCCCAGCCCUUGUUCGGUCUGCCGGGAACUGGGGCAGCUCUCGGGCGGGUCGCUUUCCUCCGACCUUACAGACCAGGACACCCCCAUUCCGAGGGUGCCGACACCGUGGGGCUGUGGCCAGGACUGGACGAGCUCCUCGCCUGAGAGGACCACUAGGGCUCCUCCUCCAGGGACCUUUUGAGGCCCAUUUCACAGACGGGUGGACGGAGGCCCAGAGCGGCUGGCAGAGGGGCUGGCGCAGGGCCGGGGUCCGUCCAGGUCUAUGCCGGGAGUGUCCUCUGUGAACCCUCGUGAGGAGGGCUGUGAGAGGGCAGUCCUGGC
rnacentral:lncRNA from 1 species